UACAUGGGGUGUAAACGUUGCUCGGAAUUAUUGGGCGUAAAGCGCGCGUAGGCGGUUACUCAAGUCGGAUGUGAAAGCCCUCGGCUUAACUGAGGAAGUGCACCCGAAACUGAGUAGCUAGAGUACUAAAGAGGGUCGCGGAAUUCCCGGUGUGGAGGUGAAAUUCGUAGAUAUCGGGAGGAACACCGGUGGCGAAGGCGGCGACCUGGGUAGAUACUGACGCUGAGGCGCGAAAGCGUGGGGAGCAAACAGG
rnacentral:rRNA from 1 species